AUUGAACGCUGGCGGUAUGCUUAACACAUGCAAGUCGAACGGCAGCAUGUUCUAUCUUCGGAUAGAAUGAUGGCGAGUGGCGGACGGGUGAGUAACACGUAGGUAUCUACCUUAUAGUGGGGGACAACUCGGGGAAACUCGAGCUAAUACCGCAUAAUCUCUACGGAGCAAAGCUGGGGACCUUCGGGCCUGGCGCUAUAAGAUGAGCCUGCGGCAGAUUAGCUUGUUGGUGGGGUAAAGGCCUACCAAGGCAACGAUCUGUAGCUGGUCUGAGAGGAUGAUCAGCCACACUGGGACUGAGACACGGCCCAGACUCCUACGGGAGGCAGCAGUGGGGAAUUUUGGACAAUGGGCGAAAGCCUGAUCCAGCAAUACCGCGUGUGUGACGAAGGCCUUCGGGUCGUAAAGCACUUUCAAUUGUGAGAAAUGCAUGUAGUUAAUAGCUACAUGAGCUAACGUUAACAAUAGAAGAAGC
rnacentral:rRNA from 1 species